rnacentral:rRNA from 1 species
UACGAAGGGGGCUAGCGUUGUUCGGAUUUACUGGGCGUAAAGCGCACGUAGGCGGAUCGUUAAGUCGGGGGUGAAAUCCUGGAGCUCAACUCCAGAACUGCCUUCGAUACUGGCGAUCUCGAGUCCGGGAGAGGUGAGUGGAACUGCGAGUGUAGAGGUGAAAUUCGUAGAUAUUCGCAAGAACACCAGUGGCGAAGGCGGCUCACUGGCCCGGUACUGACGCUGAGGUGCGAAAGCCGUGGGGAGCAAA